rnacentral:rRNA from 1 species
AACGAACGCUGGCGGCAGGCUUAACACAUGCAAGUCGAACGGUUGUAGCAAUACAGCAGUGGCAGACGGGUGAGUAACACGUGGGAACCUUCCUAGGGGUACGGAACAACUCAGGGAAACUUGAGCUAAUACCGUAUACGUCCGUGAGGAGAAAGAUUUAUCGCCCUUAGACGGGCCCGCGUCGGAUUAGCUAGUUGGUGGGGUAACGGCCUACCAAGGCGACGAUCCGUAGCUGAUCUUAGAGGAUGAUCAGCCACACUGGGACUGAGACACGGCCCAGACUCCUACGGGAGGCAGCAGUGGGGAAUCUUGGACAAUGGGCGCAAGCCUGAUCCAGCCAUACCGCGUGAGUGAAGAAGGUCUUCGGAUUGUAAAGCUCUUUUACCAGGGACGAUAAUGACGGUACCUGGAGAAUAAGCCCCGGCAAACUUCGUG